GACGUAGGGCGCGAGCGUUGUCCGGAUUUAUUGGGCGUAAAGAGCUCGUAGGCGGCUUGUUGCGUCGACCGUGAAAACCCGUGGCUUAACUGCGGGCUUGCGGUCGAUACGGGCGGGCUGGAGUUCGGUAGGGGAGACUGGAAUUCCUGGUGUAGCGGUGAAAUGCGCAGAUAUCAGGAGGAACACCGGUGGCGAAGGCGGGUCUCUGGACCGGUUCUGACGCUGAUGCGCGAAAGCGUGGGGAGCAAACGGG
rnacentral:rRNA from 1 species